UACGAAGGGGGCUAGCGUUGCUCGGAAUUACUGGGCGUAAAGCGCACGUAGGUGGCUUUUUAAGUCGGGGGUGAAAUCCUGGAGCUCAACUCCAGAACUGCCCUCGAUACUGGGAAGCUUGAGUUCGGGAGAGGUGAGUGGAACUGCGAGUGUAGAGGUGAAAUUCGUAGAUAUUCGCAAGAACACCAGUGGCGGAGGCGGCUCACUGGCCCGAUACUGACGCUGAGGUGCGAAAGCGUGGGGAGCAAACAGG
rnacentral:rRNA from 1 species